AGAGCGAUAGCUCAGUGGUAGUGCGCAUGCUUAGAAUGCAUGAGGUCCUGGGUUCAAUUCCCAGUACUUCCA
rnacentral:tRNA from 1 species